rnacentral:pre_miRNA from 1 species
AUUAUACUCCCUCCGUUCGGAAUUACUCGUCCAAGAAAUGAAUGUAUUUAGAUGUAUUUUAGUUAUAGAUACAUUCAUUUUUUUGACGAGUAAUUCCGAACGGAGGGAGUACUAU